UAGGUAAAGCUUUUUUUACAUAUAAUGUAUAAAGUAAACAUAUAAAGUAAAAACAUUAUUGAUCAGACUAAAUAUAAUAAUAAUAAAUAAACUAAAAUAACAUAUAAGAAAAUAAAACAAAAUUAAAUUAAACAAUAUAUAACGAAAUAAGGGAGGAACUAUAGUAAUGUGCAUCUUCAUGUUGGGUGUCAUAAGGGAACUGUGAGACUGUUCCUAGCCAUUCUCUAAUGCGAACCUCCACAGUGCUGGGAGCUUUUUUGAGCACCUAUCAUUAAGGAGGGUUUCUGUUUUUUCUUUUUUAAAAAUUUCCAAAGCCUCCUGGACUAAUCCUUGCCUUGGGUUUUUGGUAUGCUUUAUUAUUCUCACGUUCUCUCAGAGUGGUUUACUGGAGGAAGCAUAGCAUGCUUCAGCCAGGCCCGUGGACAUGUUACCUUUCUGUACAUCUUUUUUGUGCUCUGCAACUCUUUCUCCAAGUGUAUGUCCUGUGAAGCCAAUGUGGCGGCUUUCUUGUCCUGUGUUAUCGUCUGUGACUGGGAUAUGGUGCAUUCCUGAUUUGUGGAUGUCCUUGACUUUGUCCUUGGAGUUUCUUGGGGUAGCGAAGAUUGUGGGAUUUCUUUGGACUGCCAAGCUCUUAUGCUGUCUUCUGGCUUAACAAUG
rnacentral:lncRNA from 1 species